GAUGAACGCUGGCGGCGUGCCUAAUACAUGCAAGUCGAGCGAACAGACGAGGAGCUUGCUCCUCUGACGUUAGCGGCGGACGGGUGAGUAACACGUGGAUAACCUACCUAUAAGACUGGGAUAACUUCGGGAAACCGGAGCUAAUACCGGAUAAUAUAUUCAACCGCAUGGUUCAAUAGUGAAAGACGGUUUUGCUGUCACUUAUAGAUGGAUCCGCGCCGCAUUAGCUAGUUGGUAAGGUAACGGCUUACCAAGGCAACGAUGCGUAGCCGACCUGAGAGGGUGAUCAGCCACACUGGAACUGAGACACGGUCCAGACUCCUACGGGAGGCAGCAGUAGGGAAUCUUCCGCAAUGGGCGAAAGCCUGACGGAGCAACGCCGCGUGAGUGAUGAAGGUCUUCGGAUCGUAAAACUCUGUUAUUAGGGAAGAACAAAUGUGUAAGUAACUAUGCACGUCUUGACGGUACCUAAUCAGAAAGCCACGGCUAACUACGUG
rnacentral:rRNA from 1 species